AGUGAACGCUGGCGGUAGGCCUAACACAUGCAAGUCGAACGGCAGCACAGUAAGAGCUUGCUCUGAUGGGGGGCGAGUGGCGGACGGGUGAGGAAUACAUCGGACUCUUCUUUUUCGUGGGGGAUAACGUAGGGAAACUUACGCUAAUACCGGAUACGACCUACGGGUGAAAGGGGUGGAACUUUGGACCGUGCGGGGAUGAAUGAGCCGAUGUCGGGUUUGCUGGUUGGGGGGGUAAAGGCCCACCAAGGCGAGGAUCCGUGGCUGGUGUGAGAGGAUGGUCAGCCACCCUGGAAGUGAGACACGGACCAGACUCCUACGGGAGGCAGCAGUGGGGAAUCGUGGGCAGUGGGCGCAAGUCUGGUCCAGCCGUACGGCGUGGGUGAAGAAGGCCCUCGGGUUGUAAAGCCCUUUUGUUGGGAAAGAAACGCAGCCGGUUAAUACCACGCUGUUCUGACGGUACCCAAUGAAUAAGCACCGGCUAACUUCGUG
rnacentral:rRNA from 1 species